rnacentral:rRNA from 1 species
AACUCUGAGCAGUGGAUCACUCGGCUCAUGGGUCAAUGAAGAAUACAGCCAGCUGCAAGACUUGGUGUGAAUUGCAAGACACAUUGAGCACUGAUUUUUCAAAUGCACAUUGCGGUUUUGGGCGAUACCCAGGACCUCACCUGUCUGAGGGUCG